ACAUACGACCAUACCCACUGGAAUACACGGGAUCCCGUCCGCUCUCCCUAGUCAAACCAGUGAGGGCCAAACUAGUACCGACGUGGGUGACCACUGGGGAAUCCUCAGUGUUGUAUGUU
rfam:Gaeumannomyces graminis var. tritici R3-111a-1 unplaced genomic scaffold supercont2.6, whole genome shotgun sequence.